CGGGGCGGGGGGGCCUAUACAUGCAAGUCGAGCGCAGGAAGCAGGCAGAUCCCCUUCGGGGGUGAUGCCUGUGGAAUGAGCGGCGGACGGGUGAGUAACACGUGGGCAACCUGCCUGUAAGAUCGGAAUAACUCCGGGAAACCGGGGCUAAUGCCGGGUAAUCCUUUUUUUCGCAUGAAAGAAAGGUAAAAGAUGGCCUUUGGCUAUCACUUACAGAUGGGCCCGCGGCGCAUUAACUAGUUGGUGAGGUAAUAGCUCACCAAGGCGACGAUGCGUAACCGACCUGAGAGGGUGAUCGGCCACACUGGGACUGAAACACGGCCCAGACUCCUACGGGAGGCAGCAGUAGGGAAUCUUCCGCAAUGGACGAAAGUCUGACGGAACAACGCCGCGUGAACGAUGAAGGUCUUCGGAUCGUAAAGUUCUGUUGUUAGGGAAGAACAAGUACCGUGCGAAUAGAGCGGUACCUUGACGGUACCUAACGAGGAAGCCCCGGCUAACUACGUGCCAGCAGCCGCGGUAAUACGUAGGGGGCAAGCGUUGUCCGGAAUUAUUGGGCGUAAAGCGCGCGCAGGCGGUUUCUUAAGUCUGAUGUGAAAGCCCACGGCUCAACCGUGGAGGGCAUUGGAAACUGGGGAACUUGAGGACAGAAGAGGAGAGUGGAAUUCCACGUGUAGCGGUGAAAUGCGUAGAUAUGUGGAGGAACACCAGUGGCGAAGGCGACUCUCUGGUCUGUUUCUGACGCUGAAGUGCGAAAGCGUGGGUAGCAAACAGGAUUAGAUACCCUGGUAGUCCACGCC
rnacentral:rRNA from 1 species